UUGGACCCUAGGCAUCUUUUAUAGUUAUGACCUCAGACUACAUUAAGAAACAAUGACUGCAGGAUUUCACUAUAGACAGAUUGGAUUUUCACAAGACUAUCAAAGAGGAGGAGGGAACUGAGAAGAAUAAGAAAAACGAGACAGUUAAUUGAAUUUGAAAGACACAUUGACUGUCAACAAGGAGAAAAUGAAGGAAAUUGCACAGGACAUCACCCAAGAGCAGACACACAGUGCGAAACAACAGUAAGACAGAAAGGAUGAGAAUUCACAGACGGGCAGGCAGAUUGCCACAAGACAUCUGUCUUAUAGAGAAUCUGCUUAACUGAAACCAAGGCUCAAGUCAAAGCCAUACAUGGCAAACUGGUGGCUUCUCCACGGAUACCCCUAUUCACAAACAAUUCACCAGGAUAAAUCCCAGCUUGCAGGAAAAUGAAGUCAAUAACUCCUGCAGGAGGAAGCAGACCACACAGCAUACACUGGGAGCAAGGUCCAGAGGACAGGACCCAGCACGCAGUGGAAUGGGUCAAGCACAUAGACGACCAUAUGAGCGUUCUUCCAAGGACAAAUUUAAAAGCACUAAUACAGCUUUAUCUGCUUGAAGUGGCCUGCUCCGUCAUGGGCAUUUAUGAAGUUUUCCCGUCCGGCUCUAGUGUUCGCACGAUGCACAGCCACUCUAUGCUGCAUGUCCUUUUGGAGGAAGAUUUGAAAUAAAAGUUACAAUAUAAGCAAUAGAGCCUGAGAGAUGAAUUUCAAGGUCCCUGCACAAGAGACCCCAGCCUU